AUAGGCCGCCUACCAGUUACUAGUUCAACAAGUAACACACCAAAUGAAUAAACAUCACUCUUCUCGGUCAGUUGAUAAGUCUUCAGGUAUUCUGGAUCCAAGUAGCCAGCUGUUCCUUUAACUUGAGUGGACACAUGGGUGGCACCUGAAUCAGUGUCUGCUCCCAUUCUAGCAAAACCAAAAUCAGCUACCUUGGCUCUAAAUUUUUCAGUGAGGAGAAUGUUGGAUGACUUUAUGUCCCUGUGAAUAAUCGGGUGAUCUGUGUACAUGUGAAGAUAGGUGACUGCAUGAGCCACAUCAAUUGCAAUAUCUAGGCGCACAGCAAGCUCAAGAACGUGUCCAUGCACGCAAUCCAAGUGUUCCCUGAGCGUUCCAUUAGGAACAUACUCCACGACAACAAUUCUUUCUUGUUCAUUUUGCAAAAAUCCAUAGAACUUUACUAGAUUCAAGUGCUCCACUUGUGCAAGCGUUCGAAUCUCACUCUGAAAUUCUACACCUAAAUGCUUAUCGUAUAUAAUCUUCUUGGCACGUUUGAUUGCAACAAGGGUUCCAUCUUCAAGUCUCCCCUUGUAUACUGUCCCAUAGCCACCUUGUCCAAUCUUGAAGGAUGGGGAAAAGUUCCUUGUAGCUUUGUAGAUUUCCUCCAUGGUGAAUCUUACACUCCCUGGUUCUCUUCCAUGAGUGGAAUUCUGUGGACUGCCAUAGAUACCUCGACCUGAAGUUCGCCUUCUGUCUCUGUUGGAUCCCGUUGAUACAACAGAGGGAGGUUUGAACUCUUCAGAGUCGCCGAAAUUCUUGGAGUCGGUGGUCUCAGGCGGUGUAAAGCAGGCAACGAAUAAACCAGCCACCGAUUUUGCAGCGACCACCAGCGGGUUCCCCUUCCUGACAGUGGAGACGUCAGAAUAUGAGGAAGUCGGUGAGUAACGGAAGCCGUCGGGCAUUGAACUUGUACCGGACUCAGUGUUCCGGUAGCCGUAGACCGAGUGCGGAUUUUUCAUUGUUAGCAGCGAGAGAGAAUGUAUUUCGAAAUGGCGGGUAGUUGUAUGAGAGGAGAGGAGAAAAAAAAGAG
rnacentral:misc_RNA from 1 species